rnacentral:rRNA from 1 species
AACGAACGCUGGCGGCAUGCCUAACACAUGCAAGUCGAACGAGACCUUCGGGUCUAGUGGCGCACGGGUGCGUAACGCGUGGGAACCUGCCCUUAGGUUCGGAAUAACUCCCCGAAAGGGGUGCUAAUACCGGAUAAUGUCUUCGGCCCAAAGAUUUAUCGCCUUUGGAUGGGCCCGCGUUGGAUUAGCUAGUUGGUAGGGUAAAAGCCUACCAAGGCGACGAUCCAUAGCUGGUCUGAGAGGAUGAUCAGCCACACUGGGACUGAGACACGGCCCAGACUCCUACGGGAGGCAGCAGUGGGGAAUAUUGGACAAUGGGCGAAAGGCUGAUCCAGCAAUGCCGCGUGAGUGAUGAAGGCCUUAGGGUUGUAAAGCUCUUUUACCCGGGAUGAUAAUGACAGUACCGGGAGAAUAAGCUCCGGCUAACUCCGUG